rnacentral:rRNA from 1 species
GACGAACGCUGGCGGCGUGCCUAAUACAUGCAAGUCGAGCGAGACUCUUCGGAGUCUAGCGGCGGACGGGUGAGUAACACGUGGGCAACCUGCCUGUAAGACUGGGAUAACACCGGGAAACCGGUGCUAAUACCGGAUAAUCCUUUUCCUCUCAUGAGGGAAAGCUGAAAGUCGGUUUCGGCUGACACUUACAGAUGGGCCCGCGGCGCAGUAGCUAGUUGGUGAGGUAACGGCUCACCAAGGCGACGAUGCGUAGCCGACCUGAGAGGGUGAUCGGCCACACUGGGACUGAGACACGGCCCAGACUCCUACGGGAGGCAGCAGUAGGGAAUCUUCCACAAUGGACGAAAGUCUGAUGGAGCAACGCCGCGUGAGCGAUGAAGGCCUUCGGGUCGUAAAGCUCUGUUGUUAGGGAAGAACAAGUACCGGAGUAACUGCCGGUACCUUGACGGUACCUAACCAGAAAGCCACGGCUAACUACGUGCCAGCCGCCGCCGUAA